rnacentral:rRNA from 1 species
UACAGAGGUGGCAAGAGUUGUUCGGAAUUACUGGGCGUAAAGGGCGCGUAGGCGGCCUGUUAAGUCCCGUGUGAAAUCCCUCGGCUCAACCGAGGAACUGCACGGGAAACUGGCGGGCUUGGGUUCGGGAGAGGGAAGCGGAAUUCCGGGUGUAGCGGUGAAAUGCGUAGAGAUCCGGAGGAACACCGGUGGCGAAGGCGGCUUCCUGGUCCGACACUGACGCUGAGGCGCGAAAGCUAGGGGAGCAUACGGG